AACGAACGCUGGCGGCAUGCCUAACACAUGCAAGUCGAACGAGACCUUCGGGCCUAGUGGCGCACGGGUGCGUAACGCGUGGGAACCUGCCCUUAGGUUCGGAAUAACUCCCCGAAAGGGGUGCUAAUACCGGAUAAUGUCUUCGGACCAAAGAUUUAUCGCCUUUGGAUGGGCCCGCGUUGGAUUAGCUAGUUGGUAGGGUAAAAGCCUACCAAGGCGACGAUCCAUAGCUGGUCUGAGAGGAUGAUCAGCCACACUGGGACUGAGACACGGCCCAGACUCCUACGGGGGGCAGCAGUAGGGAAUAUUGGACAAUGGGCGAAAGCCUGAUCCAGCAAUGCCGCGUGAGUGAUGAAGGCCUUAGGGUUGUAAAGCUCUUUUACCCGGGAUGAUAAUGACAGUACCGGGAGAAUAAGCUCCGGCUAACUCCGUG
rnacentral:rRNA from 1 species